AUGGAGCAACCACAUGAGCAACUGUGUAUGAAGUUGUGUUUUAGGGAUCAGCAUCAAUUUAGAGAAGCUUUGUUGAAUUUGCACAUCACCCAAGCCAGGAAUUUCAGGUAUCACAGGAAUUCAGAUCAGAGGAUAAUUGUUGAGUGUACAGAUAAAAAAUGCCAGUUCUUAAUGGUGGCAGCAGUUAUAAAAGGGGAGAAAACAUUUGUAAUUAAGAAGAUGAGACUAGAGCACACUUGCCCUAGUACCACUGAGACCACCAGGGUUAGUGCUAAGUGGCUAGCACAGAAAUAUGAGCAUCUCUUUAGAUCUGAUAUAACUACUGGUAUUUAG
rnacentral:rRNA from 1 species